UUGGGUUAUUUUGUGCAACUCAUGUGUUGAGUCAAAAUCCAUCAACCCAACAUACAUCGGUUGACCCAGCACUUGGGUUGUUUGUGCUUCGAACGUCAUCAGAUCAUCACCAGAGUCCACACACCGAGCGCUUGUCACAGCAGAGAACCAGUCUGGUCUUCCAACGAGGCAAAUACAUAAUAAAAGAUCAAUGGAUAGCUUUGUCAUUAACACUAUGACAGAGUGCCAGACCUUGUCGAAAGAUUUAAAAGCUUCCACGUAAUAUGUCAAAGUGACUCCAAUAGAUGAAUAGAGCCGGCCACUGGAUUCCUGGAGGAAAGGCUGCGGAACGUCAGGAAGCGGCUGAGAUCAACCAGCAG